rnacentral:rRNA from 1 species
UACGUAGGGGGCAAGCGUUAUCCGGAUUUACUGGGUGUAAAGGGGGCGCAGACGGCAGCGCAAGCCAGGAGUGAAAGCCCGGGGCCCAACCCCGGGACUGCUCUUGGAACUGCGCGGCUGGAGUGCAGGAGGGGCAGGCGGAAUUCCUGGUGUAACGGUGAAAUGCGUAGAUAUUAGGAGGAACACCAGUGGCGAAGGCGGCUUACUGGACUGUAACUGACGUUGAGGCUCGAAAGCGUGGGGAGCAAACAGG